GGCUGCGGCCUGCCCCUCAGCCUCCUCCGCGCGGUUACCCCUGUACCCGCCGCCAUCCGUCCUGGCGCUCCGGAUGAGUCAAUGAGGGGCAGGGCCCGAGGAGUGGUCUUCCCAAGAACCCCUGGUGGCCUCCCAAGGCCGGUGCUGUGUACCUCCUCCCCGACAAAAGGGGAAACUGAGGCCCCGAGGGGAGUGGGAAGAGCCGGCUGGACGUCAGGCCCAGCCGCUGGUGCAGUGGUCCGUCCCCUCUGCCGGGGCCUCGUGGGCUGUGCGGCUAUCCUGGAGACAGAUGACAGCUCUCCCUUGGAUGGCUUUGCUGGUUCCGCACCAGCCAGCGCCCCCAUUUUUCCUGCAGCACCCUGAUCUGCACUCCCUGAGGGGCUCCCACUGUCCGCGGUGUGAGGAUGUCCCUGGAUAGUCCACUGUGUGCAGAGGCAUGGGAGUUGUCAUGUUGGGAACAUGCUAGACCUCAGUAUCCUUGAGGGAUGCUGCCUUGGGUCUGGAAACUGUUAGAGGAAACCCCAAGAGGUGCAGGCACUGAGCCUCUCAGGACAAUGACCUGGGGUCCCAGCUCCCCUGGAGGGGCCUCCUCAUGAUUGUUUGGGGGUUGAUCACAGACCAAGAGUGACGAGUGAUGUCACCCUGUGACUCAUGGCUGGACCUUCUUGCCCCUAUUGUCUCAGCACAACAUUAUUCGACUUUUCCCUCAGCGUGGGUGGGCAGAGGAAAAGCCCUGUGGCUCUGGGGACUUGGGAUCCAGAGUUGAAGACCCUUCAGCUGGCUCUGCCCUGCCAGUGCCACAGAGUGCCAUGGCCCAGGAAGACAGGUUUUCUUCCAUCUAGGCCAGGCCAUCCAGUGGCCAUCCUCCGUGUCCUCCCGCCUCCUCCUGGUGUGACUUCUGAAAACCAAGAAUUUGUUCCUGUUGACUUUUUCUGUGCUAUGGACCAUUGUCCUCUCACCCACUCAAUAAAUCUUGAAACAUGC
rnacentral:lncRNA from 1 species